rnacentral:miRNA from 1 species
ACGUGCGUCGUAGUUUAACCUUUACGUGUAUCGUAGUUUAGCCUUUACGUGCGUCCUGGUUUGACCUCCACGUGCGU